UACGUAGGGGGCAAGCGUUGUCCGGAAUCAUUGGGCGUAAAGAGCGUGUAGGCGGCUUGGUAGGUCUGCUGUGAAAACUCGAGGCUCAACCUCGAGCUGUCGGCGGAAACCACUUGGCUAGAGUCCGGAAGAGGAGAGUGGAAUUCCUGGUGUAGCGGUGAAAUGCGCAGAUAUCAGGAAGAACACCUAUGGCGAAGGCAGCUCUCUGGGACGGUACUGACGCUGAGACGCGAAAGCGUGGGGAGCGAACAGG
rnacentral:rRNA from 1 species